rnacentral:lncRNA from 10 species
CGAGGGCACAAUGAGAAACUUAAAGCCCCAAAGAGCAAGAGGAUUUCCUAAGGAAAAUGGGCACACCAGAAUCCUGGAGAAUCUGCUCCAAGAACUGAUACCAAGAAUUGGAUCUGAGAGGUAGAAGGAAUGAAUCGUAGUGGAUGCUGCAUUGUCUACAUCUCCUUAGGACUCAAAGACUUAGUCUUCCAGGUGCCAGCUGAUUACCUCCAGCUGUCAGGCCUCCUGGAAACUGGGCUCAGCUAGAGAGAACUGGCUUAUCCAAGAUCACACUCCCUUCCUGGGGAAGUCUACAUUCAAUGGACAGAGGCCAACAAUCAAAGAAAUGAGACUUACCAGAUCACCACAUCUGGACAAUGAGACACCAGACACCUUACCUGUCAUGAUUGCCUAACCGACCACUUGUUUCCUGUUGACCAAGUCCUCUUCCUUACCCCUCUCUAAUCUGUGUUUUCCCACACAUAGUUACAUUUCUUCCCUGCUAUAUAAACUCCUAAUUUUAAUUGGUUGAGGAGAUGGAUUUGAAACUGAUUUCCCAUCUCCUCACUGAAGCACCUGAAUAAAGCCUGCUUUCCUGGAAAUACUCAUUGUCUCAGUGAUUGGUUUUCUGUGUGGCAAGCCACAGGACCUAGACCAAACCCCUGGUGUUUUGAUAACAAAUACACAGGGUAUCAAAAGAUUUGAUGGAAUUCAGUAGUUAUUCCAGGCAAAGGAAAGUCUUAUUUCCACAGUCACUUUUAUUUCAUUUUUGAAGAUCUUUUGAGACAGGGUCUUACCCUGUUGCCCAGGCUGGACUGCAGUGGCAUGAUCUCAGCUCGCUGUAGCCUCAGCUUCCUGGAAUCAAGUGAUCCUCCCCUCUCAGACUCCCAAGUAGCUAGGACUACAGGUGCACACAGCCAU